AGUGAACGCUGGCGGUAGGCCUAACACAUGCAAGUCGAACGGCAGCACAGUAAGAGCUUGCUCUUACGGGUGGCGAGUGGCGGACGGGUGAGGAAUACAUCGGAAUCUACUUUUUCGUGGGGGAUAACGUAGGGAAACUUACGCUAAUACCGCAUACGACCUACGGGUGAAAGCAGGGGAUCUUCGGACCUUGCGCGAUUGAAUGAGCCGAUGUCGGAUUAGCUAGUUGGCGGGGUAAAGGCCCACCAAGGCGACGAUCCGUAGCUGGUCUGAGAGGAUGAUCAGCCACACUGGAACUGAGACAGGGUCCAGACCCCCACGGGGGGAAGAAGUGGGGAAUAUGGGAAAAGGGGCGCAAGCCUGACCCAGCCAUACCGCGGGGGUGAAGAAGGCCUUCGGGUUGUAAAGCCCUUUUGUGGGGAAAAAAAAGCAGCAGGUUAAAACCCCGCUGUUCUGACGGUACCCAAAGAAAAAACCCCGGCGAACUUCGG
rnacentral:rRNA from 1 species